GCCUAAGGUUCCACUUAUACUUAAAGAUUAUCUCAACUCUGAAUCUCUCAGAUCCAAUGGCAUUCACUACUUGCUCAAUUAAGUUUAUAAAUACAUCACCAUGCAAAUGAUAGAGACCGUCUCUAAGAACUAAAUCCAAAUAAUAAUCAUGAAAGAUAAAUGCCCAUGGCCACAGCAGCAACUCUUUCCUUAUUGCCAAUUUCAAUGAUUACUUUCUCAGCCCUCUACCUUCCCAUAGACUCUAUACUAGAGUAAACUCAAUUGGAAGA
rnacentral:lncRNA from 1 species